rnacentral:rRNA from 1 species
AGCGGAGGGAUCAUUACCGAGUUUACAACUCCCAAACCCAAUGUGAACCAUACCAAACUGUUGCCUCGGCGGGGUCACGCCCCGGGUGCGUCGCAGCCCCGGAACCAGGCGCCCGCCGGAGGGACCAACCAAACUCUUUCUGUAGUCCCCUCGCGGACGUUAUUUCUUACAGCUCUGAGCAAAAAUUCAAAAUGAAUCAAAACUUUCAACAACGGAUCUCUUGGUUCUGGCAUCGAUGAAGAACGCAGCGAAAUGCGAUAAGUAAUGUGAAUUGCAGAAUUCAGUGAAUCAUCGAAUCUUUGAACGCACAUUGCGCCCGCCAGUAUUCUGGCGGGCAUGCCUGUCCGAGCGUCAUUUCAACCCUCGAACCCCUCCGGGGGGUCGGCGUUGGGGAUCGGGAACCCCUAAGACGGGAUCCCGGCCCCGAAAUACAGUGGCGGUCUCGCCGCAGCCUCUCCUGCGCAGUAGUUUGCACAACUCGCACCGGGAGCGCGGCGCGUCCACGUCCGUAAAACACCCAACUUCUGAAAUGUUGACCUCGGGAUCAGGUAGGAAUACCCGCUGAACUUAAGCAAUAUCAAUAAGCGGA